CCUACGGGUGGCAGCAGUGGGGAAUAUUGCGCAAUGGGCGAAAGCCUGACGCAGCGACGCCGCGUGAGGGAUGAAGGUCUUCGGAUCGUAAACCUCCGUCAGCAGGGAAGAACGGUCACUGUGCUAAUCAGCAGUGAAUUGACGGUACCUGCAAAGGAAGCACCGGCUAACUCCGUGCCAGCAGCCGCGGUAAUACGGAGGGUGCGUGCGUUAAUCGGAAUUACUGGGCGUAAAGCGCUCGUAGGCGGUAUGUCAAGUCAAGGGUGAAAGCCCCGCGCUCAACGUGGGAACUGCCUUUGAAACUGGCAAACUGGAGUGUGUGAGAGGAUAGUGGAAUUCCAGGUGUAGGAGUGAAAUCCGUAGAUAUCUGGAGGAACAUCAGUGGCGAAGGCGACUAUCUGGCACAUAACUGACGCUGAGGAGCGAAAGCGUGGGUAGCAAACAGGAUUAGAUACCCCGGUAGUC
rnacentral:rRNA from 1 species